AACUCUCUCCCGUCACUCUCCCUCCCCCUCCCUUUUUCUUUUGAUCAGCGAACCUGCAGCCAUCAUGGCCAGCCGGCGAGGCUUCCACCCACCAUGGGCGACACCGACGAACUGCCAGCUGGCCGGAGCAGUGCCGGCAGCGACGCAAAUGGAGCAGUUUUCCUCAUCAACGCGCGCACAAUGAGCAGUAACUUUCAGACGCAAUUCUGGUUUCAUCCGACGUCCGAUCGAGGCGAUUCAGGUGGCGUUAGAAAGCUUGUUCCGAGAGCUUUCUUUUGAUACUAAUUUUGCAGCAAAUGGAGGUCGGAUGAGUGAGAUAUAGAUGAAAGAAGUUUCGGGUUUUUCAAAUUUUUUUGUCAGAUCUAGGACGAUCCGACCGUUGGAUUGACGAUCCGAGACCACCUAUGGACUGAGGGAGAGGAGAGGAACAUGAUGGUAUGAUCAGAUCCAGCAGAUGCCGCCGGUGACCGACGGCCGGCCACCGUGCGCGGUGGUUCCGGCGGUGGCUCCGGUGAGCUUUGGAGAUGAUUCAACUUCCAGAGGCUUCCUCAUAAAUUUGUGAAAUUUUUGAGACACAGAUAAGCUUCGGGUGAUCGAUGUCAGCUAUUUUCUUCUGUCCAGCAGCCACAAUAGUCCUCGGUAUACUGGUUAUCAGUGACAGGAUUUUUGAGUCUCGGUGCAGUUCAACGAUUUCAAGAGAUCCCAUGAUGCCUUGGUGAUUGAACCUUGAAAUUCCUUUGCUUGCCGUACACCCUUCGUUAAUAAAUUGGGGAUUACAUUUGUCAGUUAUCAUCAAUGAAAGACAUCAGGUGGAGAAUCCAUUGAUAAGGCCUUGUUACAUUCCUAUUUAUGGAUGCUCAUUGGGAGACCCAAUAUUAGAUGCACUAGGCAAUAAAUUGGUUUUCUACAAGGGACCCGGGAAUGGCUCGCGUUCAAUUGUUGAAAGUGAGAUUAAUGCAGUGGAAAAGUCACAGCUUUCUGUGUGUAUGUGUGACUGAGAGAGAGAGAGAGAGAGAGAGAGAGAGAGAAGGGAAAUGGUAAUUAUGUAGUUUUGGAGAUGACUUGUUCACAUUUUGGCGCACAAUUCAUAUAUCUAUGUAAAGGGAUCUUAUAUACAUGCUUCCUCAUCACUACUGUGUCACCCUCCAACAGAUAUUAAUUUCCCAUGUGAUUUUUUUUUCA